AAACUUCAAGGACACAUAGUCCAAAUGGUGUCAUACAUAACAUCGUCUAAGACAAAUCUUCUACAAGACAAUUGCAUACAUGCAUUAGGUUGUGUCUAAAUAUUGAGUCCAACUCUAGAAGUUGUCUAGGAAAUUCAAGUCUGAACCCUUUCCUUUAUCCUCUCAUCAUCUUUUUCCAAUAUCUCUUAUGUAUCAAUCAAGCCAUUACUCCUAACAUCAAUUCUCUCUUUUCCUAUCUUCCUCGAAAAGAAAAAUUAUUUGACUCUGUCACCUCUCCAAUACUUAUCUGCUGCAAAAGCACUUCAUUCCAAGAUAUCUCAUUCUUCGAGAAAUACAAUAUCUCUUUCCAAAUCCAAGUCAUACUAAGUGCAUUAAAUGGACAAGACAAAUCACAAUCGACUAUGACUAAUUUUCCACUCUAUUUAAGUUGACUAUACUUUCUUCAUAUUCUCAACUUAUUCACUCCUCUAGAAAACCUAAUUCGCAGUUCUCUCGAAUAUUGUCUCCAACUUCUGAGUUCUCGAUCUCUCAAUCUUCCAAACCAAUGAAACCAUCAUCAAAACCUCCAGACCAUCAUCAUCAUCAUCUUCGAUCACCGGACCAAGCUGAAUAUGAAUGUCCAACAACCCUUCAUACUCUCGUAUUCAGAACUUACUUACCUUACACAAGUAGUUCUUUCACUUAACCUACACCCUUCACAGCAUGCCCACAUCUUACCUCACCACUACUUUCUUAUGUUUUCCUUAUAUCUCCCUGACUCUUUUCACACAUAUCCCUUCACGUGUCUCUCUUCCUAACCUUCUCUUCCUCUCCACCUCCUCCUCCUCCAUCACCAAACCCACUUGUCCCCCUUGUCGUCCUAUUCCCUCAUGACCCUCUUCUUCUCCCUUCUUCU
rnacentral:lncRNA from 1 species